GAUGAACGCUGGCGGCGUGCCUAAUACAUGCAAGUCGAGCGAAGCGGGGACGGGUGAGUAACACGUGGAUAACCUCCUAUAAGACUGGGAUAACUUCGGGAAACCGGAGCUAAACCGGAUACUUAUACAUGAAGCCACUUUGCAUUAGCUAGUUGGUAAGGUAACGGCUUACCAAGGCAACGAUGCAUAGCCGACCUGAGAGGGUGAUCGGCCACACUGGAACUGAGACACGGUCCAGACUCCUACGGGAGGCAGCAGUAGGGAAUCUUCCGCAAUGGGCGCAAGCCUGACGGAGCAACGCCGCGUGAGUGAUGAAGGUCUUCGGAUCGUAAAGCUCUGUUAGCAGGGAAGCGGUACCUAAUCAGAAAGCCACGGCUAACUACGUGCCAGCCGCCGCGGUAAUAC
rnacentral:rRNA from 1 species